rnacentral:rRNA from 1 species
CCUACGGGCGGCAGCAGUGGGGAAUAUUGGACAAUGGGGGCAACCCUGAUCCAGCCAUGCCGCGUGUGUGAAGAAGGCCCUCGGGUUGUAAAGCACUUUCAGUGAGGAAGAACGCCUGGUGGUUAAUACCCAUCAGGAAAGACAUCACUCACAGAAGAAGCACCGGCUAACUCCGUGCCAGCAGCCGCGGUAAUACGGAGGGUGCGAGCGUUAAUCGGAAUUACUGGGCGUAAAGCGCGCGUAGGUGGCUUGAUAAGCCGGUUGUGAAAGCCCCGGGCUCAACCUGGGAACGGCAUCCGGAACUGUCAAGCUAGAGUGCAGGAGAGGAAGGUAGAAUUCCCGGUGUAGCGGUGAAAUGCGUAGAGAUCGGGAGGAAUACCAGUGGCGAAGGCGGCCUUCUGGACUGACACUGACACUGAGGUGCGAAAGCGUGGGUAGCAAACAGGAUUAGAUACCUUGUAGUC